GGAUGCGAUCAUACCAGCACUAAAGCACCGGAUCCCAUCAGAACUCCGAAGUUAAGCGUGCUUGGGCGAGAGUAGUACUAGGAUGGGUGACCUCCUGGGAAGUCCUCGUAUUGCAUCCC
rnacentral:rRNA from 1 species